UGCGACCUGGCCAAGACAAAGCAAAACAGUGCGACAAAAACAACAGAUAUAGACACAGAUGGUUGACAAUAUGGCGUGAAGAUAAGUGCAAUGCUUGUCUGCUUCGAAAUAAAUGGGUUAUGCAUCUUAAUGACCCACAAACAUAAAAAGUGGAAGUGUUAAACGUAGCUCUCAUGCUGGAAAAGGUUAGAGACUGGUCUAAGAUCUCCAACUAGCUGCUUGGUGUAGUUACCAUUGCUUUCCAAUAGAUGGCAGCCUUAGCUAGCUCACAACUCUAGAAACAGGGUCAGGGUGUUGAUAGAUGUUCAAAGCAGUUUUAUCUUCCAAUCUAGUUUCUCUGGCUACACUUGAACCCGUUGUUAUAGUGGACUAAGUGAAUUUAUACUAGUUUUUAGAAACAUUGUCUUAGAAUUACAAGAUACGAAUGUGAUUCAUCAUUUUAGUUGGACAGAUUGUGUAGUUUUUGUCAUAAGGCAUUAUUACAUAAGGAGCUGACAUUAGUUUUAGGUAGUUGCCUUUGCUUAACAUUAGUUUUAGGUAGUUUGCAUGUUCAACUAGCUGGUCUCGCUAGAUUACGAUUCACAUAUAGCUAAGUUAUAAUUAUAAAGUUUGCUUUAUGUAAUUAUUUUGUGUCUCGUCUGUAUCGCCAUUAGCCUGGAUGGCAGCGUAUUAGUGAUGAUUGACUACCAUAGCUAGGAGGGCAUAGUUGAGCUGAGGUGAUUCUCAUCUGUAGUUGGAGAGGAGGAAAGAGCUUCCUGUUUACAUAGCUGAGGUGAUUCUCAUCUGUAGUUGGAGAGGAGGAAAGAGCUUCCUGUUUACAUAGCUGAGAUGAUUCUCGUCUGUAGUUGGAGAGGAGGAAAGAGCUUCCUGUUUACAUAGCUGAGAUGAUUCUCGUCUGUAGUUGGAGAGGAGGAAAGAGCUUCCUGUUUACAUAGCUGAGGUGAUUCUCAUCUGUAGUUGGAGAUGAGGAAAGAGCUUCCUGUUUACAUAGCUGAGGUGAUUCUCGUCUACUGACUCCCGUCCUCUCACUUCAAAAAGAUGACCUGACAGAGAGAAGUGAUGACAACAAGUGCAGACUCUAACUUGACAAUGUAUUUCAAAUAGUUUUUGAGCAAAUUCCAUCUGGGAGGGAAGCUGACUGCUGCCCUGGCAAAGGAAAACAAAGGGAAAAUUUAAAUAAAAAGUACAAGGCCUGUCGGCUAGUCCACCACCACCACCAGGCCUGUC